UACGUAGGGGGCGAGCGUUGUCCGGAAUUACUGGGCGUAAAGGGUGCGUAGGCGGCCUGAUAAGUCAGAUGUGAAAUACCAGGGCUCAACCCUGGGGGUGCAUUUGAAACUGUUGGGCUUGAGUGCAGGAGAGGAAAGUGGAAUUCCUGGUGUAGCGGUGGAAUGCGCAGAUAUCGGGAGGAACACCGGUGGCGAAGGCGGCUUUCUGGCCAGUUACUGACGCUCAUGCGCGAAAGCUGGGGUAGCGAACCGGAUUAGAUACCCGUGUAGU
rnacentral:rRNA from 1 species